UACAGAGGGCUCAAGCGUUGUUCGGAUUCAUUGGGCGGAAAGGGUGCGUAGGCGGCGCGGUAAGUCGGGUGUGAAAUCUCGGGGCUUAACUCCGAAACUGCAUUCGAUACUGCCGUGCUUGAGGACUGGAGAGGAGACUGGAAUUUACGGUGUAGCGGUGAAAUGCGUAGAUAUCGUAAGGAAGACCAGUGGCGAAGGCGGGUCUCUGGACAGUUCCUGACGCUGAGGCACGAAGGCCAGGGGAGCAAACGGG
rnacentral:rRNA from 1 species